ensembl:snRNA U6 U6 spliceosomal RNA
GUGAUCACUUUGGUAAAACAUACACUAAAAUUGGAAUAACACAGACAAGAUUAGCAUGGCCCUUGUGUAAGGAUGAUGCACAAAUUCAUGAAGCAUUCCAUAUUUUU